UCGUCAAUAGGCCUCGCUUUGCCUUCCUCUAAAGCUCUUCAAACACAGGCUUGUUAGGACUGAGCCGCUUGUAGAAAUAGAUCAAAAGUUACACGGCCCUGAGCCUCUUGGUUUAUAAUGCUGUGUAGAGCCCUAGUCAGGGUCAUCACACGUGGGACACAGGCUGGUAUUUCUUCCAGGCCAAAUGGUGACCGUGCAGAUGGAAUUGGAAAUAUCAGUGUAGCUAGAAAGUGGAAACACCCUUGGAGUAAAUUGGAAUACCUUGAAGUAGAAUUACAGGACUAUUGCCCGAGAACACGUGGCCUGGUGGAACAUGUUGAAUUUCCUAAUCCUAUCUGGAGGAGCAGGCAGGCCUCAAUACAACCAUGGUUUUGCCAUAGUAAUAGUUAACAGGCUUCCUUUUUUUAAAAUGGGACAGUGCCGUGUCUCAUUUGAUGAACUUGCCCUCCCAUGUACCUGCAUGUGAUGAAAACCAUGUUGGUAGGGACAUCUGAGAGCAUGAUGAAUACCAACAUCUCUGAGCGAGACAUGGGUUGUAUUUGCUACUGGGCAAUAGCAUACCUAGUUGGGAACAAUCAAAUUGUAUUAGUGGUUGCCUGAGUGACUAAGUGCCUGUAAAGGUUAUAAUUGCACGGAAGAAGCAGUGGUGGGUAACUAAUAUCCCUUUAAAGGUGGCUGGAUUUUUCUUGUUGCAAAAGGCUGUCUAGUUUGUAUUAAUGGGCUUCUUGAUAGUUGGUGAACUAACAGCCUACAGAACAGAUGUAGAUGAACUUGUGCAGCAUAUGGUGUAGCUGUUCUGGAAUGGGUCAUUUUAGAGUCGUCAACAUGACAAGACAUUUUCACACUAUCUUGCUAGGCUUUUUUCUGAAACUGAGGAAAUUUUGACCAUUAUAACGUUCUGUGUUUAGCCAUGAUGCAUCAAGCAAGUUCGUUCUUCGCUGGUAACUACAAAACUGGAGGUCAAGACCUAGUGACACUUGCCAAGGAUUUAGUGGAGGACUUUAGAAUCGCCAUACAAGAUGGAUUCUCUGGUCCUGGAAGGCAAAUGCUGGUGUGAAAGGCACUGUUAAAUAGAUGGCUUCUGCCCACCACCUGCCUGAUGCAUACGGGGGAAAAUCCAACUUGAACACAGUGACUUACUGUUUGUAAGGAGAAUACAGAAGAUGCAGGCUUCCAAAGGUGCUUGGAUAUCAUGCAUUUGGCUUGGAUUUUCCUGUUUCAUGGUUGAUUCUCUGAAUUUCCCUGACACUCUGCUUCAUUCCAGGCCUGUAACUUGGAUGUGGACAGUGCUAUGAUUAGCAGUGGCCUUGGCUUCAAUAAACUUAGCAUUAUUAGAAGAUUGACAGAUGAUCACGACAGCGUUUCAACUGAGAGCUAGGGCACUCUUCCCGGAUAAAGGAUCACUAAGUUGAGAAUGAAGCUGGUCAAACAUUGUAAAGCAAUCCUGCCUGCCUGAGAGGAAGCAAGCUAUGCCUGACCACUUGAGGAACCAGAAAGUGUGAAGAGCUGUAAGAUUUGGUGGACACUUCCCAGUGCUGGAGCAACAGUGAAGAAGCAGGAGUUUUGUGCUAGCACAGUUUGAUAGGGACAUCUACUCUGGAUCCUUGAAACCCUGGCAUGUCACACAUGGCUCUUGAGUGCUCAACUAGCAUUCUAGUAACACCUUGUCAAUUACUUUCUAACACUGCUCCAUACAAAAUUUCCUGCCCUUAAUUAGGAGGGUGAGCAGUGGACAGCCUCUAAUUUUCAGAGUGAUGGGAGGGCAACUCUUGUCUGUUUCCUAUUGGGUUCCUGCAGGGGAGGGAGAAGUAGGAGAUAUUCUAAUGUCCAAAUUCUGCCCUUCUGAGAUGGCUGGUAGUGGCCAUGGUGGGGGAGAGAAGAGACCAGAGCCCUUUCUGCAGUAGUGGGUGUCAAUGUUAAAACACUACCUUGCUUAUAAGACCCACAUCUUAAACUAGACAAACAUUUACUGUAUUUCAACUGCUUUUAAAAGUAAAAAGGCUGUUCUCUUAAAUGUAUUAAUAAACCUAAAUGGCACCCCUGGAGUUUGUACUUUUA